rnacentral:tRNA from 1 species
GGGACCGUAGCUCAAAGGGAGAGCACUGUGCUGGCAGCGCAGGGGUUGUGGGUUCGAGUCCCAUCGGUUCCACCA